AAGGGUAUAGCUUAGUGGUAGAGUACAUGCCUAGAAGGCAUGAGGUCCUAGGUUCAAUACUUAGUACCUCCA
rnacentral:tRNA from 1 species